UUUUCUCUAGUACGAAAGGACCGAGAAAACGUGGCCUAUAUUAACACAAGCCACAACUACUAAACUAUGAUUAAAACUCAAUAGUAUAGUGAUCCCUGUUAAUGCUCUAAAUAAGAGUAG
rnacentral:rRNA from 1 species